rnacentral:piRNA from 1 species
UAGAAACCCUGCUGAUAUGGGCAUACUCCCGU